rnacentral:rRNA from 1 species
UACGUAGGGUCCGAGCGUUGUCCGGAAUUACUGGGCGUAAAGCGUGCGUAGGUGGUUCGUUAAGUCUGAUGUGAAAGCCCUGGGCUCAACCUGGGAAUGGCAUUGGAAACUGGCGACCUAGAGUGCGGUAGAGGGUAGUGGAAUUCCCGGUGUAGCAGUGAAAUGCGUAGAGAUCGGGAGGAACAUCCGUGGCGAAGGCGACUACCUGGACCAGCACUGACACUGAGGCACGAAAGCGUGGGGAGCAAACAGG